rnacentral:rRNA from 1 species
GAGACAGCAGUCGCCGCGGUAAUACGGAGGGUGCAAGCGUUAAUCGGAAUUACUGGGCGUAAAGCGCACGCAGGCGGUCUGUCAAGUCAGAUGUGAAAUCCCCGGGCUUAACCUGGGAACUGCAUUUGAAACUGGCAGGCUAGAGUCUUGUAGAGGGGGGUAGAAUUCCAGGUGUAGCGGUGAAAUGCGUAGAGAUCUGGAGGAAUACCGGUGGCGAAGGCGGCCCCCUGGACAAAGACUGACGCUCAGGUGCGAAAGCGUGGGGAGCAAACAGGAUUAGAUACCCCGGUAGUCCCUGUCUCUUAUAC